GACGAACGCUGGCGGCGUGCUUCACACAUGCAAGUCGAACGGGGAUGCAGCAAAAGCUUGCUUUUAUUGCAUCCUAGUGGCGGACGGGUGAGUAACACGUGAGCAACCUGCCCGACAUACUGGGAUAACAGCGGGAAACCGUUGCUAAUACCGGAUACUCCAUUUCUGGCGCAUGUCAGAGAUGGGAAAGGGUUCACCGAUGUCGGAUGGGCUCGCGUCCCAUUAGCUGGUUGGUGAGGUAACGGCUCACCAAGGCUGCGAUGGGUAGCUGGUCUGAGAGGACUAUCAGCCACACUGGAACUGAGACACGGUCCAGACUCCUACGGGAGGCAGCAGUGGGGAAUAUUGCACAAUGGGCGAAAGCCUGAUGCAGCGACGCCGCGUGGAGGAUGAAGGCCUUCGGGUCGUAAACUCCUGUCUGGGGGGAUGAACACUGACAGUACCCCCGGAGGAAGCCCCGGCUAACUACGUGCCAGCCGCCGCCGUAA
rnacentral:rRNA from 1 species